AGCGAACGCUGGCGGCAGGCUUAACACAUGCAAGUCGAGCGGGCAUCUUCGGAUGUCAGCGGCAGACGGGUGAGUAACACGUGGGAACGUACCCUUCGGUUCGGAACAACUCUGGGAAACUGGAGCUAAUACCGGAUACGCCCUUAUGGGGAAAGGUUUACUGCCGAAGGAUCGGCCUGCGUCUGAUUAGCUAGUUGGUGGGGUAACGGCCUACCAAGGCGACGAUCAGUAGCUGGUCUGAGAGGAUGAUCAGCCACACUGGGACUGAGACACGGCCCAGACUCCUACGGGAGGCAGCAGUGGGGAAUAUUGGACAAUGGGCGCAAGCCUGAUCCAGCCAUGCCGCGUGAGUGAUGAAGGCCUUAGGGUUGUAAAGCUCUUUUGUCCGGGACGAUAAUGACGGUACCGGAAGAAUAAGCCCCGGCUAACUUCGUG
rnacentral:rRNA from 1 species